UACGGGAGGCAGCAGUGGGGAAUAUUGCACAAUGGGCGCAAGCCUGAUGCAGCCAUGCCGCGUGUAUGAAGAAGGCCUUCGGGUUGUAAAGUACUUUCAGUCGUGAGGAAGGUGUUAAGGUUAAUAACCUUAGCAAUUGACGUUAGCGACAGAAGAAGCACCGGCUAACUCCGUGCCAGCAGCCGCGGUAAUACGGAGGGUGCGAGCGUUAAUCGGAAUUACUGGGCGUAAAGGGCACGCAGGCGGUUAAUUAAGUUGGAUGUGAAAUCCCCGGGCUUAACCUGGGAAUGGCAUUCAAGACUGGUUAGCUAGAGUCUUGUAGAGGGGGUAGAAUUCCAUGUGUAGCGGUGAAAUGCGUAGAGAUGUGGAGGAAUACCGGUGGCGAAGGCGGCCCCUGGACAAAGACUGACGCUCAUGUGCGAAAAGCGUGGGGAGCAAACAGGGAUUAGAUACC
rnacentral:rRNA from 1 species